GCCUUCGGGUUGUAAGCACUUUUGGCAGGGAAGAAAUGGCACGGGUUAAUAACCCGUGUUGAUGACGGUACCUGCAGAAUAAGCACCGGCUAACUACGUGCCAGCAGCCGCGGUAAUACGUAGGGUGCAAGCGUUAAUCGGAAUUACUGGGCGUAAAGCGUGCGCAGGCGGUUCGGAAAGAAAGGUGUGAAAUCCCAGGGCUUAACCUUGGAACUGCAUUUUUAACUACCGGGCUAGAGUGCGUGAGAUGGGGGUGGAAUUCCGCGUGUAGCAGUGAAAUGCGUAUAUAUGCGGAGGAACACCGAUGGCGAAGGCAGCCCCCUGGGAUGACACUGACGCUCAUGCACGAAAGCGUGGGGAGCAAACAGGAUUAGAUACCCUGGUAGUCCACGCCCUAAACGAUGUCAACUAGCUGUUGGGGCCUUCGGGCCUUAGUAGCGCAGCUAACGCGUGAAGUUGACCGCCUGGGGAGUACGGUC
rnacentral:rRNA from 1 species